AUUCUUUUGUGACUUCCAAAGGUGAUGAUUGGGGCUCUAUGUCACUGUGUGAAAUGCGCCUCUCUCAAACCUGGUUACAACAUCGGCACAUUAUCACAUUCGAUG